rnacentral:rRNA from 1 species
AACGAACGCUGGCGGCAGGCCUGACACAUGCAAGUCGAGCGCUGUAGCAAUACAGAGCGGCGCACGGGAUAAUAACGCGUGGGAACCUACCUUAUGGUUCGGAAUAACAUCGGGAAACUGGUGCUAAUACCGGAUAAGCCCUUCGGGGGAAAGAUUUAUUGCCAUUAGAUGGGCCCGCGUUAGAUUAGCUAGUUGGUGAGGUAACGGCUCACCAAGGCGACGAUCUAUAGCUGGUCUGAGAGGAUGAUCAGCAUCACGGGGACUGAGACACGGCCCAGACUCCUACGGGAGGCAGCAGUGGGGAAUAUUGGACAAUGGGGGAAACCCUGAUCCAGCCAUGCCGCGUGAAUGAUGAAGGCCUUCGGGUUGUAAAGUUCUUUUGACGGGGACGAUGAUGACGGUACCCGUAGAAUAAGCUCCGGCUAACUUCGUGCCAGCCGCCGCAGUAA